UGGGCUGGAGAUAAUGAAAAUGAAAUAUUUCCCGGGAAGCCUUGGUGGGUCAACAACUUUGCUUUCUGAUUCAGCAAGUUCUAAGCAGAGUCUGGGGAUGAUGGUGGGCUUUAUCACUGGGGCUGUUAUUGCUGUGGUGUUAGCUGCAAUUAUCUUUAUGUUAUGCAGAAAAGGGAAAAAGUCUGCUCGCCAAAGCCAUUCAAAGACCAAGUGUAAGAAUUCUCACACUGUUGGCAGUAAGAAUUCUAAUAUGGGAUAUCGCAUUCCUUUUGCGGCAGUUGAAGAGGCCACAAACUGCUUCGAUGAGAGUUGGGUUAUUGGUAUUGGUGGUUUUGGG
rnacentral:misc_RNA from 1 species